CCUUCAGGUGAAUUUAAUCCCAAAUCAAAUUCCUGCUCCCUGCAACCAGCUGCACAAAAUUGAACCUGUAUAGAAGUCUUGUAGUAGCUGUAAUUUUUUGGUGGGGUGAGUUAUUUUGUUUAGGUGCUGUGAUUAGUAGCAAAUAUUUGGAGAUUUAUUUUUUGUGGUGGAGCAAUCUGAGCAACAAUCAUCUCUGGUUCAACAAGCAGAGCAGAGUCACAGCUGCAAGGACUGCCAGUGAGAGAGGGAAGAAGCCAGCCCACCCCCAGGCCAUGGUGCGUCAGUGCCGUGCAUCACCAGUGGCAGCAUCACCCACACACACGGAAUGAUGACGGCCCAACAGAGGGAAAAAAUAUUGACGGAGUAGUUCUUGCCCACACAAUUUGUUGUCUGGUUGUAAGAAUAAGAGCAUGUAU